rnacentral:rRNA from 1 species
GAUGAACGCUGGCGGCGUGCUUAACACAUGCAAGUCGAACGAAGCACCUGAGAAUGAUUCUUCGGAUGAAGUCUCUUGUGACUGAGUGGCGGACGGGUGAGUAACGCGUGGGUAACCUGCCUCACACAGGGGGAUAACAGUUGGAAACGACCGCUAAUACCGCAUAACCCGCUGGUGCCGCAUGGCACUGACGGAAAAGAUUUAUCGGGGUGAGAUGGACCCGCGUCUGAUUAGCCAGUUGGCAGGGUAACGGCCUACCAAAGCGACGAUCAGUAGCCGGCCUGAGAGGGUGAACGGCCACAUUGGGACUGAGACACGGCCCAG